rnacentral:rRNA from 1 species
ACGGAAGGCAGCAGUGGGGAAUAUUGCACAAUGGGGGAAACCCUGAUGCAGCGACGCCGCGUGAACGAUGAAGUAUUUCGGUAUGUAAAGUUCUAUCAGCAGGGAAGAUAAUGACGGUACCUGACUAAGAAGCACCGGCUAAAUACGUGCCAGCAGCCGCGGUAAUACGUAUGGUGCAAGCGUUAUCCGGAUUUACUGGGUGUAAAGGGUGCGUAGGUGGCAUGGCAAGUCUGAAGUGAAAUGCGGGGGCUCAACCCCUGAACUGCUUUGGAAACUGUCAAGCUUGAGUACAGGAGAGGAAAGCGGAAUUCCUAGUGUAGCGGUGAAAUGCGUAGAUAUUAGGAGGAACACCAGUGGCGAAGGCGGCUUUCUGGUCUGUAACUGACACUGAGGCACGAAAGCGUGGGGAGCAAACAGGAUUAGAUACCCUGGUA